AUGUUCGGAAAUUUUAAAAGGAAUAAAAAAAUUUAAAUAUUGAAGAUAUUUCAUGCAAUGCGCAUACUCGAUAGAACAAAUGCAAAAAAGGAGGGCGUUAAAUCUAUGUAAGGAGAGAAAAUACCUGUUACAGCGUCACUUCUGAAGAACACCCAGAAUUAGAAAUAACACACUCACGCACAAAAAAAUUAAGAAAUAAAUUAAGAUAAAUCUAUACCGGCCAAACUAAAGCAAACGCCAACAACUUCGUUCAUCUUCAACUGCUCUCCCAAAACAAACGCGCCAACCAAACCGUUUUGCAGCAGCAAAACUCACUGAAGACUAUAGUGCCAAGCUGAUUUCAAAGAUGACCAAUAGCAAAGGACAAGGCGAUUCUUGUUGCACACUCAAUGCAGAUCUAACUAACCUCGUCUGCAUAAGUUUUAUCUUUAUGAUGUGCACUGCAGCCAACUUGCUCGCCUUCUCGUGGAGGAAAUGGACGUCCUAUGAAAGCCACAAGAUUGAUCUUUCAACUAUUACGACUAUUGAUGAUAUCGGCGGAACCAGAAGAAGUACUGAAAGGGUCGAACGAGGCGAAGUCAACGAAAAUGAAAAAGAAUCAUCUAACAAUGCCGUUGCCAACGAUUGCUGUAACGCUAUGCCCAACCGCUGUUUUAAGAAAAUUUCGAAUGCAAUUCGGACGUUAGAUAUCUUGAAUGCGGUGCAGUUUUCUCUGAUUGCGUCGAUUUAUGUUUUUGUCACUGUCCUCUUUCUUUUCUUUGUUCAUCGGUAUGCCACCGGUCCACAUAAAGGCAAUGAAUUUAUAUGGGCAACACCUUCGUUACAAAAUCUUACCCUGGCGUUUCCUGGUAUUUACGGUCCUAUAGUAUUUCUUAUGAGAAAUAAGAAAAUAUGGAACGUAUCUCAAAAGAAGUUUUAGAAAAGAAUAACAGAAAAUUCGGGGAUUGUGGGAACGAUUUCUAUACACUUUGAAGUUGCAAUACUUAAAACAUCUUUGCAAAAGGUAAAUUUUGAAAGACAAUGAGAAAAUCACCGUAGUCUGUCGUUUAAAAAUGUGUUUUAUCUGAUUUUUAUUUGCAUGACAACAAUUAAAUGUUUUAGAAAAUGCUUUGUCGUCCAUAUAUUAACUAUACGUGUUACACUAAAUGUCAGAAUUCUUUCAAAUAAUUUUCAGUUCAUUUCACCUAAUGCCGAAUUUGUAAACAACCUGUGCUCAUCGGUCAACUAAGGCGUGUCAAAUCUCUGGCUUGUCUGAUCCGUCUAAAGCUUUUUGUGUCUAAUGUAAUCAACAUUAUUCAAAAUUUCUCGUAUUUAUUUCCGCAAAUUUUGUAAAGGUGAAACCUAGAAAAUAAACGAUAUCCCAUUUCAA